AAAAACUGGUUUUGUCCGUAUUUUGUAAACGGAAGACUAGAUGCAGUGAUAAAUGAAAUACUACCAUAUUGAAUCAAUGAUUAAGAUACACCCCCCGGAAACCCGAUAUGCUGUGAGAAGUUGGAUGUGCUAGGAGAAGUUGCCGAUAAAUUUCGAUAGGACGCGAAGGGUCUAAAUGGUGUGAAAUGUAACGCAUUUCUCUGAAGUCACAGCAGCAGGGUUUCGCUUGAAUGUGUUCUCAAGAGCUGGGCUACACAUAUUCAAUGAAGCCUUCUGCUGAGCAAAACAGACUGAAUCCUUAAUACUCAACAGCGAACUAAUUUCGGAUCUUUUUAAUUUUCAAUCGAAUGAAAUAUAAAACAUU